rnacentral:rRNA from 1 species
GACGAACGCUGGCGGCGUGCCUAACACAUGCAAGUCGAACGGGGUGAUUUGCUUCGGUAAAUCACUUAGUGGCGAACGGGUGAGUAACGCGUGAGGAACCUGCCUUUCAGUGGGGGACAACAGUUGGAAACGACUGCUAAUACCGCAUAACGCAGCGAGACCGCAUGGUCUUACUGCCAAAGCUUUAUGUGCUGAAAGAUGGCCUCGCGUCUGAUUAGCUAGUUGGUGGGGUAACGGCCCACCAAGGCGACGAUCAGUAGCCGGUCUGAGAGGAUGAACGGCCACAUUGGGACUGAGAUACGGCCCAGACUCCUACGGGAGGCAGCAGUGGGGAAUAUUGGGCAAUGGGGGGAACCCUGACCCAGCAACGCCGCGUGAAGGAAGAAGGCCUCGGUUGUAAACGUUCUUUACCUAGGUACGAAGAACGUAGACGGUACCU